UACAGAGGGUGCGAGCGUUGUCCGGAAUCACUGGGCGUAAAGGGCGCGUAGGCGGCUUGGCAAGCGUGCGGUGAAAGCUCAGGGCUCAACCCUGAGUCUGCCGUGCGAACUGCCGGGCUUGAGCACAGUAGAGGCAGAUGGAAUUCCGGGUGUAGCGGUGGAAUGCGUAGAGAUCCGGAAGAACACCGGUGGCGAAGGUGGUCUGCUGGGCUGUGUCUGACUCUGAGGCGCGACAGCGUGGGGAGCAAACAGG
rnacentral:rRNA from 1 species